AUGAGCAGCGCUAGUAGGGAGUCGCUGGAGGCGGAGGAGCUCGUCGACACAAGGCUGUCGCUCGUGAUCGGUGCCGGGAGCCAACCGCCGCCGGUGCAGGCCCCUCUGCUACCGCCAGAGGCAGAGGGUCGUGUGCCGGGAAAUACUGGAAGGAAGAAAGGGGAGAAGUGGAUAGUAGGCGGUAGUACAAGGCAGCAUGGCAAGAGGGCAAGGGCUGCGCACGGCGGCAGCGACGUCGACGAUGGCGACGACGGAGGGGACGCAGCCGGCCGCGCGAGGAAGAAGCUCCGGCUCACCGCGGAGCAGGCGGCGCUGCUGGAGAAGAGCUUCCGCGCCCACAACGUCCUCUCCCAUGGUGAGAAGCAGGAUCUUGCGGGGCAGCUUGGGUUGAAGCCGAGGCAGGUGGAGGUGUGGUUCCAGAACAGGAGGGCGCGGACCAAGCUCAAGCAGACGGAGCUCGACUGCGAGCUGCUGCGCCGGUGGUGCGAGCGUCUCAGCGACGACAACGCGCGGCUCCGGCGAGAGCUCGCCGAGACACGCGCGGUCCUCCUCGUCGGCGGUUCAAAGGGCUCGACGCUCACGGGGUGUCCGUCCUGCAACAGGCUCGCCUAG
rnacentral:rRNA from 1 species